GCCGCUCGUCGGUCGCACCUGAUCGGGACCAGGUCAUAUCCUGGCCGACCGGGCCGCUCGUCCCCACCAGCUCUCUCACUCUCCCCCGAGCUCACUCAACUCCUCUCUGCUCUCCUCUACUUCUGUUUCUUCUUCUCGCGCUCCGGCGACGCCGUGACCAUGCCGUCGUGGCCGAACAGCAACAAGACGUCGGACGAUGAUGAUGGGUACAUGAGCGAGUUCAGCAGCAUGCAGAUGGAGUACUUUCAAACUCCUGACACUGUGAUAGACCCUAGUUUCUAUGGGCUUGUGACUGAAUCUGACAGAAGGUGCAUCCUACACAGGCAGAGGGCGGGCAAGUUUGUGGCAUUUGAAGGCACUGACACUGGCAGGAGAUUCAUAGGAUGUGCUACUGAGGAUGGUGUGAACUGUGGUGUUCUGGAGUGGGUAGAUGCCCCCUGGCCUGUAAUUCUGCAAAGGCGCUUAAGCAAGCUCUGGGAUAUGUAUCAUGAGCAGAACCUUGGUAGAGCCCAGGAUAAUGAGGCUCAUGGGAUAGAGGUUGCAAAACUGCAGAAGGAGCUUGAUUCUCUGGCCAAUCAGUAUAGCCGGCUGGUGGAUGAUGUGUCCAAGUUGUUUGAUUAUUAGGAUGGAAUCAAAUCUCAUGACAUGGAUUGCAUAAGCCAGGCAAUCAAUGAACCGAAGGAGGAGAAGAAGCAACUUGAGGAGCAGGCAAAGAUUGAGCUUCAAAUGGAGAAGCUUAAGCUCAAGAAAGAACAAAGGUGCAUCCUUCAGAGUCAAGAUGAUAUAAUCCAAAACAGAAGGAAGGCCAUGAAGGAGCUAGAGGUGGAGAAAGAUCUCCUUAAAGAAGAGAAGAAGAAGCUGGAGAAUGUCAUUGCUGAGCUCCUUAAGGUUGGUCAUGGGUGCAAGGAAAAGCUGGACAAGAUAAAGGAAGUUGUGAUGGAGGAGUGAAGUGGCAACUCUCUGGAUGGGAACCAAUCUGCUUUCUCCAUUUUCUCAAUCUCAUGGUGGGAUCUACUAGUUGGACCAGCUUCAUCAUCAGAAACAAAUUCAGACACAUCAGUAUCACCUUCAAAAUGGUUAAGGAGUUCAGGGUGUACUUCUGAGUGGAGCGUGUUACUUCUGAUUGAGUUGAGUUUCGUCCGCUGUAUUACUGCUGUAACUUCACAGCAGCAAAGAAACAGCGUCAUGGUUGAGAAGGGAUAUGUACGGAGUAAUGACUAUGCUUCAGUUCUUGGUCAUAUGUAUUCUGCUUAGAAGGCUAUCACUCGCAAGCUUCCUUUGAUCUCAUUACUUAGAAUCACCACCUCCUCUUCUGUAUCCUGACGCAGGGUUGACCGUGGGUGUCUAAUACAAGAUGGCUGCUCCGCCAAAUGCAUUUUCGAGCGAGUUACAGAAGUGGAUCUACAACCGUUCUGUAGGCUCUAUAUUUUUCAUCACUAUCGGACCAAAAGCAUCUGCAAUUAAUGCACUUAUAGCUCUUAUGAACAAAGUAGAGACUGUUCCUGCAGAAAAAAGAGCUGCGGAGUUAGACCUCCGAGGACAAAAUUGCACAGGCGUUGUAGUGGAGGAGGCAGAUGAUCAUCUUAAGAUCUUAACAUGUGCCCAUCUUAUGCAACACGUAUUCAAGAGUUCAGAACCCCUUUCGCUUAAAGAUGCUUGUUCGCUUUUUUCUGUAAGAGUGUUGUGUGAUCAUUACGAGCAGAGCUUCCGCGGGCAAAGCAGGAUAAGAGCAAGAGUUUAUGCACCAGCUUCCAUGAUUGGCAUCGAUUGCGAGAAAGACCUGCUUCUUCUUCAUGUAUACCGACCAGAUAUUAAGAAUUUGGGCAGAAGAUGUACCAACAGUCAUCAGGGCUUGAUUCUUAGUCCAACUCCUCCAGAAGCUUUCGACAAGUGCGCAAUGAUUUCAUGGCCUCCUGGCCUACCUCGAACAGCUGUUGAAGGAUCAAUUUCUCACCCUUCAAGAACAGUCCGUGACUUGGAACUUGUGAACACUGUUGGAUACACAAUGAACCUCACUCAAGUAGUAAUAGCAAUUGAAAAAGGAAGCUCAGGUGCUCCGUUGUUAGAUGGUAAUGGGAGAAUAAUUGGAUUGUUGCAUGGCGGUUUUGGAGGGCAGUUUACAUACUUUAUCUCCCAUGCUGAUAUCGGAUGUUUUCUGAGGCGACAUCACGUGGUACAUGGGAUAUGAGGUGUUAUUUGAUCAUCCUACAGCCCUUGUUCCCUCCCGAUCUCUUGUUGUUAUCCCAUCCACAAUUGCUGCUCGAACUGCUGUUAAACAACAGAGUCAGGUUCAUUAGUGCUGCUCUGUUACCGUUUAUGUGACAGCAAUGUCGAUUCAGCUGCUGCGUUACGAAGUGCUGAUUACAAAUGGAGAGACUACGCGACAACUCUGUACUGAAAUCGGCAAACACUUGUUGUUCCAUCUCUUAGGCUUUAUCACAGUUCCCCCGCCCAAAAGAAGUCUUCAUCAGAGUUGAGAAUUUUUUGAGGUCUACCAGCUGAAAACAAUCUGUGAGCAUACACUAUGUGAUGUUGCUCUCUGGUCUAAAAUGUAAACUCAGUACUGCCUCUCUGUUCCCAGCAAACUUGGGCAUCAAUGUUAUUUCGCUUCAGAUCUGAUUUCCUGCAGAGUGCAGUUCUUUUUGCUGAUUUUCAUCCGAAUAACAUAUGUGUUGGUACUGACUUGCUUCUUGGAAUGAACUAGUAUCUUCAUAAGAUUGUUGAGUUCGUUCGAAGAUUGUUGCACACAAAUUAGUGCCAGCAGCAGGGAGCUGAUGCUGAAUACUAAGUGUGCUGUUCAAGCUGAUCCGCCACGUAGGCCAUGUUCAACAAGAAUGUAUACCUGCAGCUUUCUGAACCA